GAUGAACGCUGGCGGCGUGCCUAAUACAUGCAAGUCGAGCGAACGGACGAGAGGCUUGCUUCUCUGAUGUUAGCGGCGGACGGGUGAGUAACACGUGGAUAACCUACCUAUAAGACUGGGAUAACUUCGGGAAACCGGAGCUAAUACCGGAUAAUAUUUUGAACCGCAUGGUUCAAAAGUGAAAGACGGUCUUGCUGUCACUUAUAGAUGGAUCCGCGCUGCAUUAGCUAGUUGGUAAGGUAACGGCUUACCAAGGCAACGAUGCAUAGCCGACCUGAGAGGGUGAUCGGCCACACUGGAACUGAGACACGGUCCAGACUCCUACGGGAGGCGGCAGUAGGGAAUCUUCCGCAAUGGGCGAAAGCCUGACGGAGCAACGCCGCGUGAGUGAUGAAGGUCUUCGGAUCGUAAAACUCUGUUAUUAGGGAAGAACAUAUGUGUAAGUAACUGUGCACAUCUUGACGGUACCUAAUCAGAAAGCCACGGCUAACUACGUG
rnacentral:rRNA from 1 species